AACGAACGCUGGCGGCAUGCCUAACACAUGCAAGUCGAACGAGACCUUCGGGUCUAGUGGCGCACGGGUGCGUAACGCGUGGGAAUCUGCCCUUGGGUUCGGAAUAACAGUUAGAAAUGACUGCUAAUACCGGAUGAUGUCUUCGGACCAAAGAUUUAUCGCCCAGGGAUGAGCCCGCGUAGGAUUAGCUAGUUGGUGGGGUAAAGGCCUACCAAGGCGACGAUCCUUAGCUGGUCUGAGAGGAUGAUCAGCCACACUGGGACUGAGACACGGCCCAGACUCCUACGGGAGGCAGCAGUGGGGAAUAUUGGACAAUGGGCGAAAGCCUGAUCCAGCAAUGCCGCGUGAGUGAUGAAGGCCUUAGGGUUGUAAAGCUCUUUUACCCGGGAUGAUAAUGACAGUACCGGGAGAAUAAGACCCCGGCUAACUCCGUGCCAGCAGCCGCGGUAAU
rnacentral:rRNA from 1 species